GACGAACGCUGGCGGCGUGCUUAACACAUGCAAGUCGAACGGAAAGGCCCUGCUUUUGUGGGGUGCUCGAGUGGCGAACGGGUGAGUAACACGUGAGUAACCUGCCCUUGACUUUGGGAUAACUUCAGGAAACUGGGGCUAAUACAGGAUAGGAGCUCCUGCUGCAUGGUGGGGGUUGGAAAGUUUCGGCGGUUGGGGAUGGACUCGCGGCUUAUCAGCUUGUUGGUGGGGUAGUGGCUUACCAAGGCUUUGACGGGUAGCCGGCCUGAGAGGGUGACCGGCCACAUUGGGACUGAGAUACGGCCCAGACUCCUACGGGAGGCAGCAGUGGGGAAUAUUGCACAAUGGGCGGAAGCCUGAUGCAGCAACGCCGCGUGCGGGAUGACGGCCUUCGGGUUGUAAACCGCUUUCGCCUGUGACGAAGCGUGAGUGACGGUAAUGGGUAAAGAAGCACCGGCUAACUACGUGCCAGCAGCCGCGGUGAUACGUAGGGUGCGAGCGUUGUCCGGAUUUAUUGGGCGUAAAGGGCUCGUAGGUGGUUGAUCGCGUCGGAAGUGUAAUCUUGGGGCUUAACCCUGAGCGUGCUUUCGAUACGGGUUGACUUGAGGAAGGUAGGGGAGAAUGGAAUUCCUGGUGGAGCGGUGGAAUGCGCAGAUAUCAGGAGGAACACCAGUGGCGAAGGCGGUUCUCUGGGCCUUUCCUGACGCUGAGGAGCGAAAGCGUGGGGAGCGAACAGGCUUAGAUACCCUGGUAGUCCACGCUGUAAACGGUGGGUACUAGGUGUGGGGUCCAUUCCACGGGUUCCGUGCCGUAGCUAACGCUUUAAGUACCCCGCCUGGGGAGUACGGCCGCAAGGCUAAAACUCAAAGGAAUUGACGGGGCCCCGCACAAGCGGCGGAGCAUGCGGAUUAAUUCGAUGCAACGCGUAGAACCUUACCUGGGUUUGACAUGGAUCGGAAGUGCUCAGAGAUGGGUGUGCCUCUUUUGGGGUCGGUUCACAGGUGGUGCAUGGCUGUCGUCAGCUCGUGUCGUGAGAUGUUGGGUUAAGUCCCGCAACGAGCGCAACCCUUGUUCACUGUUGCCAGCACGUUAUGGUGGGGACUCAGUGGAGACCGCCGGGGUCAACUCGGAGGAAGGUGGGGAUGACGUCAAGUCAUCAUGCCCCUUAUGUCCAGGGCUUCACGCAUGCUACAAUGGCUGGUACAGAGAGUGGCGAGCCUGUGAGGGUGAGCGAAUCUCGGAAAGCCGGUCUCAGUUCGGAUUGGGGUCUGCAACUCGACCUCAUGAAGUCGGAGUCGCUAGUAAUCGCAGAUCAGCAACGCUGCGGUGAAUACGUUCCCGGGGCU
rnacentral:rRNA from 1 species